GGCCUCGUGGCCUAAUGGCUAGGGCGCUAGAUUUCGGUAACUCUGAUCCUCUAGAGAUUGUCGGUUCGAAUCCGGCCGAGGUCG
rnacentral:tRNA from 1 species